UACGUAGGGGGCAAGCGUUGUCCGGAAUCAUUGGGCGUAAAGCGCGUGUAGGCGGCCCGAUAAGUCCGCUGUGAAAGUCCAGGGCUCAACCCUGGGAUGCCGGUGGAUACUGUCGGGCUCGAGUCCGGAAGAGGCGAGUGGAAUUCCUGGUGUAGCGGUGGAAUGCGCAGAUAUCAGGAGGAACACCAAUAGCGAAGGCAGCUCGCUGGGACGUUACUGACACUGAGGCGCGAAAGCGUGGGGAGCGAACAGG
rnacentral:rRNA from 1 species